AGAGCGAACGCUGGCGGCAUGCUUAACACAUGCAAGUCGCACGGUCAGCAAUGGCAGUGGCGGACGGGUGAGUAACGCGUAGGAAUCUAUCCAGAGGUGGGGGACAACGGUUGGAAACGACUGCUAAUACCGCAUGUUACCUGAGGGUUAAAGGCGCAAGUCGCCUUUGGAGGAGCCUGCGUCUGAUUAGCUUGUUGGUGGGGUAAAGGCUUACCAAGGCGACGAUCAGUAGCUGGUCUGAGAGGAUGAUCAGCCACAUUGGGACUGAGACACGGCCCAAACUCCUACGGGAGGCAGCAGUGGGGAAUAUUGGACAAUGGGCGCAAGCCUGAUCCAGCAAUGCCGCGUGUGUGAAGAAGGUCUUCGGAUUGUAAAGCACUUUUGGCAGGGACGAUGAUGACGGUACCUGCAGAAUAAGCCCGGCUAACUUCGUGCCAGCAGCCGC
rnacentral:rRNA from 1 species